AAGCAAGGUCAAGGUUUCUGUUUCAUAUGGCCCAGACAGCAUCUGUCUGUUCUUUGAGUAAUGUCGAGCCCUCCAGAGAGCAUCCCAUAGGUGCUAUUGGAAUCAAUCUCAUUACCUUGCUUGCUUUACUUCUUGCCCCCUUUAAGGAUCAGAAACCAGAGUGGCUCAGAACCCAUUCUUCACCAAGUGACCCACAAUUUACCUUCUUAUUGUUCAACUUUUCAUUUUAUUCUUGGCCCAGGUGUGGCUUUCUUGAGCCCUUUCUCUCAGCCCUCUCCUGGCAAUAUAAAAUGGCCUUCUCGCUUUCAAAUUCGCAGAACCUAAUCUUUCCCUGCUUCGCAUAACUAUGAUAGCACUUACCACCCUGUGUUGCAAUUACUGGAUUCCUCUCUACAUGAUAAACUCUUCGGCACACUGUGCCCCACUUAGUAAACCCAGUGCUUAGCAUAGUGCCUGACACAUGGAAGUUUCCCAAUCAAUGUUUUUUUAAUGAAUAACCUGGCUUCUUGGCCAUAGCCCUGGAUUUUGCUUUUUAAGCUGGCUUCUAACCACACUUUCUUCUCCUAAGAUUGGGGAACACUUUUGCUUAAACACUGGCCUGGGCUUCCCGUAGCAGCCCACGCCAGCCAUAAAGUCUUCUGAAAUAAGGUAGUGUGACAUUCUGCUGUGCCUCCUGGCCACAGCCGGUCUUGUAUUCCACACAGUAACCCUUUCCUCUUUCCCAAGUGAGAAAUAAGUACAUGUCCUUGGACAUAAAUGAAAAGGUAAAAGAACACAGAAGAAUCAGUGCAGAUCUAUUUCUUCUAUUUGAAAUAUAAUUCUAAGAAAUGCUAUCUGAUCUGCCAAAGACUACACACACAGUCCAGCACCUGCCAAGUGGUAGGCACUGUGCUGUGUUUACGUACAUCGUCUCUCUUGAUCCUGCCAAUCCUAGGAGAAAGAGAUUAUUGUCUCCAUUUUAUAGAUGAAAAAAUUAAGAUUCAAAAUAUAUAUAACUAAACAAAUAUGAUAUAGCUAAGUAAAUAGAGGAGUUGAAAUUCAUACCCAGGUCUGCCUAACUCCAAUGCCAAUGCUGUUUCCACUAUACCAUUCACCAUACUACAUGGUCCUCAAAUUAGGCUCUACCACAUAUACCUAAAGAAUACACUUGAAAGAAUGAAAAACAUAUCUUCAAAACACUAGAUAGCAAGACUAAGAAAAAGGUAAGCCUUGGAAAAUGAGGGGAAAAAAAUCCUUUGACCAAAGGAAUUUGAUGACAGUUAAGACAGCCAUAGCAACGCAAAAUAUUGUAACUCUGGUUGAAAGAUGGUGCAAGUUUUUAAUGAAUCAUAAAUUCAAAAUAAUUAGGAACAUCAGACAGGCCUUCAUAAAUAAAAAUCUCUGGUUUAUUUUUAAAAUACAUAUAACACUAUUGAAUCAAAGAGAAUCCUACACAAAGACUAUGCUUUCAGGGAUCAUUUCUAUAGUUCAUUUAAGAAUGCUACACAACCAAGAGUUAAUUAUAAAAUUGUAACAUUUUUCCCACCUACUUUUUUCAAGCACACAAGCUGUCCUGCAUUCAUUUCUGUGAAUAUUAAAUAACCCAGUCCAAAGGUGACUAGCAUGCAAAUAACUGUGCAACACAAAAUGUUCUCCUACAAUCAGAUAGCUGAACAAGAUUAAUCAGAGAAAGCAUUUUGACUUCAGAUAAUCUUUGAAUACUUACCUACAGAAAGUAUUUAACUAUUUUCCUUGAUCAAAUGACAGAUAGUAAUACAAACAAAAUUUACAUGAGGGGGAAAAUUAUGUUUGAGAAAGAGUCGGAUUUUUAAUAUAUAAAUCUGUGCUUCUUAAUCUAGCUUCAAGCUACCUAUGACUUGCUUCUUCUCCCCAACUUCCAUCCCCAACCACCUGACUACCUUGAUUUAUUGCAAGCCACUUAAAAAAAAAAAAAAAAAAAAAAAAAAAAA
rnacentral:lncRNA from 1 species